rnacentral:lncRNA from 1 species
AAUUUUUGUAAUGAGUAUAUAUAUUGACAGUAUAGGCGCAUGGCCUACAUACCAUUACGGGCCAAAUUCGAUGUUGAGUGGGAGUUGCUUUGGGCUGUAAACCUUAUGAUCGCAGCAUAGUGUAGUAUUUUGCUCAAUCGAUCUAGCUAUCCCAUUGGCACGUGUUGUAUGUUGAAAGCACAUAGAGCCACAAAUCAUUUCAAAUAAUAACAUGUCUACACCAACUUUCUGCAAAUCCAACUCUCUUUUCUUUCUCUAUUCAGCGGAGAGGGCGCUCUCAAUAGAAUUUACAUUUAUUUAUUUAUUUAUUUGUUGAUUGAGUUUUCUAUCCUUUCUAGACUGAGAUCAAAACGUUUCUAUGAUUAUUGACUUAUGAGUUGUUUUCUCCACCUAUGUAAGGUGAUUUGUUUUUCUUUUUUCUAGGCUAAAAGAUCUUUUACUUUUAGAUUUGAUUGGAGCUUGAAUUUGUUGAGUGGAGGUAUCUUUUAUUGUUACUUAGGGUGCAUGAUUUUUAUUCCCCAUAUGACAAUAAACUAUAAUGGUUAUUUUUUGUUGCAAUAGAUUACUGUAUAGUCUCUUAUGGAUCAAGGGUACGUUUGACAGCCUGCAUCAAACACAUUAUGUUGAAAUAUUAUUUUAUAUUUUUUUUGUGCUAAUUUUGUCCUAACUUAUUAGGUGUAAUAAAACCUCAAUGAAUAAAUGUUUGAUAAAUGAAAAAACUUGAUUAAGUAAUAAAAUCAUUCGAUCCCAACUUGACUAGUGUAAUAAAUUAAUAAAUUUACUAAAUGCAUAAGAUAAUUUUUUUUUUGAAUCCUUUAGGGUCCA